UUCCAUUUGGACCGUGCCUCUUCUUUUGUAGCAUAGACAUACACAAUCAACGCAAAUUCAAUACAACAUAUACUUUUUCAGCCACUUUCAGCCCAAGAAUGCAUUUCAAGUAAACAACGGAUAAUAUUGUGAGUAUAUGUACAUAACUACCAGCAUUCGAGUAACAUGUGCAACAGUACAUCAAAAUUCUCAACAAAUUUAGCAUUACAAGUCAAUAACAUAUAAAGCAAGUUGCUAACUGGGGCUUUAAGCUUUCUCCGAAUUUCUUCGGGUAGAAUUCCUGUAAAUGAGAGGAACAUACACAUGUUUAGAGUCUCAACAUAGGCAAUAUUUGUUAGCAAUAAAAUAGAAAAAUUAAUUCAAGAACCAUGCAAGAGCCUAGGUUUUACUAUCAUUUUGACACCAUAGAGUAACAUCCAAGAAUACCACGAGUUGAUGCAUUAUUCUAGCAUAACCAAAUUAGAAACAUCCCUUGCUGUUCUAUUUUAACCUUACUACUACCUCCGUUCCUAAAUAUAUGAGAUCUUGGUUCAUUUCAGUAAUUUAGAAAGAGGGGUGAUGGGGCAUAGAACCUUGAGCCAUUGUUGUGGGGUUGUGGCUGAUGAAGGUUACCUUUUGGGGCCCCAAAUUAGAAACAUCCCUUGUUGUUCUAUUUUAACCUUACUACUACCUCCGUUCCUAAAUAUAUGAGAUCUUGGUUCAUUUCAGUAAUUUAGAAAGAGGGGUGAUGGGGCAUAGAACCUUGAGCCAUUGUUGUGGGGUUGUGGCUGAUGAAGGUUACCUUUUGGGGCCCCAAAGGCAGCUCCGCCAGAUGCAACAGCAACACCUCCAACAACCACAACAACAGCAGCAGCACCACCAAUAAUGACCUGCGUGGCAUUUCAGGUCAUCAUUACAGAAGAAAAUAAUUAAGAAACAAGCAACCAAUAUAGCUUCAGCAUUACAUGUACAGAUUUUAGCUUUUUCUACCUAAGUACAAAUAGCAAAAUGGAACAUAGGCAGGUUUAUUAUAUUUGACAGAGCUACUUGGACAAGAAAGAGAACAUAGCGCCGCGACUUGUUGAGGACAGAAAUAAUAAUGUUUGAUUCAUAAAUUACAAAUUAGUAAUAUGGGGAUUAAGAGCAUGCCCACAGAAAGCUAAUUGGCAAACAAAACUUAUUGGUCAGUUCUCAACAUAGAGCAAAGUGGCAAAUGAUAAUGUUUGUUACAAUAAUUAACAGGGCAGUAGCUCAACCUAAAGAAAGGCAGCAGAACUUAUAUGAAAGAAACCGAGUUGUAAGUGUAUAAAGAGCGAUCAAUGAUUCAUUCCGGAGACAAACAUUAAUAUGGGGAUUAAGAGCAUGCCCACAGAAAGCUAAUUGGCAAACAAAACUUAUUGGUCAGUUCUCAACACAGAGCAAAGUGGCAAAUGAUAAUGUUUGUUACAAUAAUUAACAGGGCAGUAGCUCAACCUAAAGAAAGGCAGCAGAACUUAUAUGAAAGAAACCGAGUUGUAAGUGUAUAAAGAGCGAUCAAUGAUUCAUUCUGGAGACAUGGUAAUUUCUUCUAACAUAUUGUACUAUCAAGUAAACUCUCACAAGAAAGAUGCCCCAGUAAGUAAGCUGAAUGGGUGACAAACUGAAUAGUGAAACAAGUUGAUAGUUGUACACUAUAGUGUUUUACGCAUAGUCAAACUGAAUGAACUAGAUGAUACCCCGCGCGUUGCUGCAGGACACUUAGUUGACGUUAAGGAUUUUCUUAUAAAUGAAAGAAUGAAAUGCCAAACUGGUUUUGAGAAUUCGAGAACAACAAUGUGACAAAAGCGUAAGUAUGCAUUGGCAGUAGAGUAGGUUUUCUUAAACAAUGAAUAGAGUGUAUUGCAACCUACUGGAUUAACAAUGCUUUGGUCACUGAGAUAUUUUCUUAAUUAUCUAAUAGUGUGAACUAUAUUAUUUGACACUGCACUGUAUAGUAAUAGGUUAGAGAGGAUAAUAAAGGGGGGCGUUGAGGAAGCAAGUACAUAAGUACAUGAUAUUUAUACAUUUAUAAAGGUAAAAGCUAAAAAACAUGUACACCUUUUUUUCCUUCGAUAAACAGAGAGAUUUGCAAUUGUCAUAUGACAUAUGAGUGCUAGAUUGUCCGUUUUAUACAAUUUUGAUUUGAUAGUAGCCAGUCAAGUAAGCGUUUUUUUGGGUGUGAAUUGAUCAACAGAAGUUUGAAGCAAUGAAUGAUGGUGCAAAUAGCUGUAUUUAAUUGCAUACGCUAGCAGUAGGAGGCAACCUUAUAUGAAGAUAAAAAAGGGGGUUCUCUAAGGUAACUAACAUUAUGUGACAAAAAUGAAAAAGGGGUCACCCUUAGUGGAUGCCAGAACGCAUGCAUCUUCUGAUUAGUACAAUGGUUCUCCUACAUGAAAGGAUUAACUGACAGGUGAUUUAGUAUCAUAUCUGCUCAAAUGAAAUUGCUUUGUCCGGCCGAGUCCGUAUGAACCUAUAUUAAGAUUAAACUUUGAGAACAUCCCAUGUCUAUAAAUAAACCUCAAGAACCAAUAAUAUUAUCAUAAUGAAAUAUGGUGCUGGAGGAGUACGAAAUUGUUACUAUUGAAAAUCAACGACGGUGCAGAGAACAUGAUAUAUUAUAUUUCAAACAGGAUGCUGCAACCACAUACAUACUAGAAGAAUCAAAUUAAGAAUCCUCUAUGGUUGCGACAAAGUUGAAAGUAAAAGAGAUGAAGUAAGGAGACACAUCCACCAAGAAAGGUCCAAAACUGAAAUGAAUGAUGUCUAUUAGAAUGGCCACGCAUGUUAAUAAAUCAAAGCUGAAACUCAAUUAGUAUCUAACAGAUACAGUAGUGCAGAAGAAUCAUCAAAAGAGAUAAACACUGCCAAACCAAAGGACCAGUUGUUUAAUUCUAAAACGGAACUGCUAAUUAUGCAGUCAAGGGAACAUAUACAAAUAAGAUUAAUGGAAUCCAAUUUAGUUAAUCUAAUAAAAAUGGUUUAGCUAUAACAGAGUUACCAUCCAGCAAUCAACUUGUUCUGAGUGAUUGAGGCGUGGACAUGUAGCUCAAUGAAUCCAACUUUGGCAAGAAAAAGCACCAAUGUUAACCGAUUCAAUCCAGCAGCACCAACAUGAGCAUGCAUGCGAGGCUGGUACUCAUAGGAAGCAUCAGAUAGGAUUAAUGGGAGUACCUGAGCUUGGGGACCCGCAAGGAGUUGAACU
rnacentral:lncRNA from 1 species